GCGACCCCAGGUCAGGCGGGGCUACCCGCUGAGUUUAAGCAUAUCAAUAAGCGGAGGAAAAGAAACUUAC
rnacentral:rRNA from 1 species